rnacentral:rRNA from 1 species
GUCGGUUCGGCCGGAUUUUACACAAGUGUUGCAUGGCUGUCGUCAGCUCGUGUCGUGAGAUGUUGGGUUAAGUCCCGCAACGAGCGCAACCCUCAUCCUUAGUUGCCAUCAGGUAAUGCUGAGUACUUUAAGGAAACUGCCAGUGAUAAGCUGGAGGAAGGUGGGGAUGAUGUCAAGUCAUCAUGGCCUUUAUGGAGUGGGCUACACACGUGCUACAAUGGUGUCUACAAUGGGCUGCAAGGUGCGCAAGCCUAAGCUAAUCCCUAAAAGACAUCUCAGUUCGGAUUGUACUCUGCAACUCGAGUACAUGAAGUUGGAAUCGCUAGUAAUCGUGGAUCAGCAUGCCACGGUGAAUACGUUCUCGGGUCUUGUACACACUGCCCGUCA